AUUGAACGCUGGCGGAAUGCUUUACACAUGCAAGUCGAACGGCAGCACGGGUGCUUGCACCUGGUGGCGAGUGGCGAACGGGUGAGUAAUACAUCGGAACGUACCCAGUCGUGGGGGAUAACGUAGCGAAAGUUACGCUAAGACCGCAUACGUCCUGAGGGAGAAAGCGGGGGACCGUAAGGCCUCGCGCGAUUGGAGCGGCCGAUGUCUGAUUAGCUAGUUGGUGAGGUAAAGGCUCACCAAGGCGACGAUCAGUAGCUGGUCUGAGAGGAUGAUCAGCCACACUGGAACUGAGACACGGUCCAGACUCCUACGGGAGGCAGCAGUGGGGAAUUUUGGACAAUGGGCGAAAGCCUGAUCCAGCCAUUCCGCGUGAGUGAAGAAGGCCUUCGGGUUGUAAAGCUCUUUCGGCAGGAACGAAACGCUCUAGAUCAAUACCCUGGGGUAAUGACGGUACCUGAAGAAGAAGCACCGGCUAACUACGUGCCAGCCGCCGCGGUAA
rnacentral:rRNA from 1 species